rnacentral:rRNA from 1 species
CGGCGGAUGGGUGAGUAACACGUGGGUAACCUACCUACAAGCUUGGGAUAACUCGUGGAAACGCGAACUAAUACCAAAUGCGAUCUUUUACCUCCUGGUAAAAGAUUAAAAGACGGUUUCGGCUGUCACUUGUAGACGGGCCCGUGGCGCAUUAGCUAGUUGGUGAGAUAAAAGCUUACCAAGGCAACGAUGCGUAGCCGACCUGAGAGGGUGAUCGGCCACACUGGGACUGAGACACGGCCCAGACUCCUACGGGAGGCAGCAGUAGGGAAUCUUCCGCAAUGGACGAAAGUCUGACGGAGCGACGCCGCGUGAAUGAUGAAGAUCUUCGGAUCGUAAAAUUCUGUUGUUAGGAAUGAACAAGUGUGAGCGUAACUACUCACACCUUGACAGUACUUAACCAGAAAGCCCCGGCUAACUACGUGCCAGCAGCCGCGGUAAUACGUAGGGGGCGAGCGUUGUCCGGAAUUAUUGGGCGUA